rnacentral:rRNA from 1 species
UACGGAGGUGGCAAGCGUUGUUCGGAUUUACUGGGUGUAAAGGACAUGUAGGUGUCUUUCUAAGUCGGGUGUGAAAUCCCUUGGCUUAACCAAGGAAUUGCGCCCGAUACUGGUUAGAUUGAGUACUGGAGGGGUAAGCGGAAUUCCGGAAGUAAGGGUGAAAUCUGCAGAUAUCCGGAGGAACACCAUUAGCGAAGGCGGCUUACUGGCCAGAUACUGACGCUGAAAUGUGAAAGCUAGGGGAGCAAACAGG